AAUGUUGCGUAAACUAUUCGCGGUUAGGGAGUUGUAGGGAAAAUUUAGCGUGGGUAGAGUUAAAGAAUAACAAUUUAGAUACGGUCUGUAAUAAAUUAGUUUUUAGAAGUUACGAGUGAAGCAGUUUCCCUUCUCUGGUUUCCAAUCUUCUCCCAGCCCAAUCGCCCGCGUUGAGUGUUUUACAAUAAUACGUUCUAUUAUACUCUCGUUCUUAUAUGCGCUUACAUGCGCCUUAUAUACGCUAGCUUUUUGAACUAUUUCAAAUUUACUUUUUUCUAGUGCUAAUUCUGCUGUUAGAUUAUUAAAUAUUUGAUUUAUUUUGUAUAUAGGUUCUGUGCCACAAUAGUCUGAGUGGUAGUGAUUUUAGCAAAGGGCUAGUCAAGGUGCUGUGUAAUGGUUUUGGGUGCCUGUCCCUUGGCAAAUUCUGAUGAUUGGGCAGGAGUGAACGAAUUUUGAAAUCUCCCUUCCCAUACCUGGCCAGUGGAAAUACUCACGGAUAAGCUGGUGUAAUUGAAAAGUACCUUUGUGGUCUCCAAGUACCAAUUCAUGGUAUUCCUGGAUGAUUUGGGGAUGACUUGAUUCCAAUGGGACUACAAUUUCUCCCAUACAUAAGAUCAUUCCCGGACAGAAUAGCAGCCAACGAAAGAUGCCAGUGAACAUCAAUCUCGUCUUCUCAAACAUCAGGGGAAUGGCCCACAGUUGUAAUCGGAGGUAGAAACAUACACGAAAAAUAAUUAGAAACACAUCCCGAAAUGAAACCUUAGAACAACCACACAGGCAAAGACGAAUACAAAAUGGAACAGCCAAACAUUAAAUUCAGAGGACAGGCGAUUAUAAUUUUAACCACAACGCAGUAUACAUACAUCGACGCAUUAAAAAUAUUAGGAACCAAGGGGAAAACAAACUGAAGGAAGUGAAAAAUGUUGACGUAACCAAGUGUCGUGAUGUCAGAAGGACACUGCGAAAUAGGAACGAUAUUCGAAAACCAGUACUAAAGGUGUUACUCGAAGCUAAGAUUAUCGAUCGUUCUAUCACAUUGAAUGAAUUCUAAAUCGAAAUAAAGAAAUUGAUAAAGGAUAACCAUAAUCAUGAAAAAUCCAAAACUAAAAAUUGGAUUGAUCUUUAGUAUGCUUAAGGAAAUCCAGAAGAUUAUUAAAUGUUUUAGUUGUCCUGUUAUCGCGCACCAAUCCGUUUCUUGCCAAGUCAACAAGGAAGGCAGGAAAAUACGCAAAAAGUGUGGGAACAAGGCCACAAUAUAAAGACAUGCACUGCACAAUAUAGAUGUGUGUAGUGCGAAAAGGAGUUAAUA